AACGGAGGGGGCAAGUGUUACUCAUAAUGAUUGGGCGUAAAGGGUACGUAGAUGGCUCCAUAACUGGUUUGUAAAAUAGAUGGUUAAUACCAUCCAAUACCUUCUAAAGUGUUGAGCUUGAGUCUUGUUAAGGAUAAUGGUACUUUUAAAGGAGAGGCGAUAUUCAGCGAUAUUAAAAGGACCAUCAAAGGCGAAGGCGAUUAGCUAGGUUAGACUGACAUUGAGGUACUGAAGCGUGGGUAUCAAAUCGG
rnacentral:rRNA from 1 species